UUUGAGCGUGCAUUUUUCCGCAGCGUUUCCGAAACCAUCAAAAUAAAAACAAAGUGAAUUUUUGUUUCGGCCAGUUUGCUCCGUUUUGUCGUCUUCGUUGUUCCAGAGAAAAAGUGAUGAGACUCCUUAAUUGGCAGAAGAAAUACUCUCUACAACCCCCCAGCAGUCUGGUGCCGCAUGAAAAACAGGCCCCCUGAGCUGCGGCCAAACCACAGACUACAGCCAUGGAACCAUCGCUAGUUUCUAUACUCUAGAUUGCUGUGAAAUCGAACCAAUGAAACGGAUUUUCAUCUACGCACAAGGAAAAAUCAAGCACCAGCAGAAGGUCAUCCAAGCGCAAUUUUUUUUCUAAAUCACCGGAGGUGCAAGCGAUAAUGCAGAGCUUCACCGGGAAAACUUCGGCAACAUAUGAAACCUAACCGGAAAGGGAUGAGAGAUAUGAUCGUGAUGUGGUGUAUUACUUCCGGGACAACCCCCUCCCUUCGCUUCGUAACGGCUUUUGUACGAAAAUUUUGUAUAAGUCAUAACGCUCGAGCCUAUUUCAUCCCCCCCCCUCGAAAGUUACGCAAUUUGGGGACGGCACCUAAAUAAUUCUGAAUUCCGACUGAGAAUUAUUUUUAUUAUUGAUAUUAUUUUGAAUUUAAAGACUCGUUGCUUAAUACGUAAAUAAUAAAAGCAUGAAUUGAAAAAAGUUAAGUUAUAAAUGUUUAAUUAUUUCAAAUCAGAAAUAAUGGAACAAAUAGAACAUGUAGCAUGAAUCUGCUUCUGAAGAGAAAUAGUUGAAAUUGUGAUUAAAUUGCGUGAUUUGUGUACGUUUCAAUUGAAGUUGAUUUUUCUACACGUAUCUAAUUGUUUCAUUAUUUUGAUUCAUUCUAAAAUAAUUUUACCUAGAUAUAAACAUAUCAGUACAGUACAGGAUACGGUCAAAU